ACUCCUGGUUCAUAGGUUGACAUUCAAUCACUGAGCAACGCCAGCCAGACUAGCGUUUCUUGUAGGCAAGUCUACCAGUGACAAACUCCCUCAGCUCUUGUUUACAUGGGAAUGUCUUCAUUUCUCCUUCAUUUCUGAAGGAUAGUUUUGCCAGAAAUAUGAUUCUUGUCUGACAGCAUUUUUUUUCAAGACUUUAAAUAUGUCAUCCCACUGCCUGUGGCUUCCAUAGUUUCUGAUGAGAAAUCAGCUGUUAGUCUUACUGAGGAUCCUCAUUCCUGAAAAGCCACUUCCCUUGCUACCUUCCGAUGCUGUCUUUGUCUUUGGGUCUUAGCAGUUUGUCUUGGUGUGGGGUCUCUUUUACUUUAUACUACUUGGAUGUAUAGAUUCAUAUCUCUCAUCAAAGUUGGGAAGCUUUCAGCCAUUAUUCUUCAAUUUUGCAAACAUUAUUUCUGUCCCUUUCUCUCCCUCUUUUUUUAGGAUUCUAUUAUCCAUAUUUUGGUAUAUGGUGUAUUUUAGUGUGCUUUGUAAUUAUUUUCUUGAUAGCCAGACACAAAGUACUGGCUACAAAGAACUGUUAUAAACAGGCCAUUAGUGACAUGGUGGUGAGUAGUGAAGGGAAGCUUUCUAAUACCUAUGAAUAAUUCUCUCUUCUCGUAAACCCAGGUCUCUGGUGACCUGCUUCAUAGGUCAACGCUCAACCACUGAGCCCCACCGGCCGGACUCAUUGCACUUUUUGUUAGGACAGAGGGAUGACUUCCUCACUUCUUAUAUGCUAGACUGGUGACCAGAGUGUCCCACUGAGGGAUGCUGCAGACACCCCCAUCCAGGCAUCACUGCUGCCGUCAACUUCCAGAGCUCAGAAGCGGUGCGUUUGGACAGUUUGCCCAGUGUUAGCCUUGUUCUCCUGUGGCAACGAUUCAGUCACCUCUGCACCUGGCCAGCUGAACUCGGGGAAUGCAGUCCUAAGAGCGUGUUCUCGGGUUCACAUGUUUGAGACUCUGGCAUGUGUUUCUGUGACUAUUGUGAGGUGGUGAUGGAGUUGUUUUUUUUAAUUUUUAAAUAUAUUUUGAAGGUGUU